rnacentral:rRNA from 1 species
GGACCAUCAUGUCGGUCGUGCCUCGGUACGUACUGGUAUUGUUGGUUUCUCCCUUCUGACGAACCAUGAUGUCAUUUAUUUGGUGUUGUGGGGAAUCAGGACUGUUACUUUGAAAAAAUUAGAGUGUUCAAAGCAGGCCUUUGCCUGAAUACAUUAGCAUGGAAUAAUAGAAUAGGACGUUUGAUUCUAUUUUGUUGGUUUCUAGGAUCGACGUA